CAUCCUAGCAGGGAUUUGAACCCGGGACCUAUGGAUUAGAAGUCCAAGGCACUAUUCAUUGCGCUACUGGGAA